GGGGAGAGUGUGCACGUUUUGUACGUCAGAGAAAUGUGCACAAGUGUGAAUGAAGGUGUUCAAAUAAAGUCCUCUGUACACUGGCAGAAACAAAUCAGUACCCUUAAAUGCCCUGCCUGACAGAGCCGAGGAUAACGCUCUCAGUGUUUCUGAAGACCCAGCCCGAAUCAGAGAUCUCAAACUUCCAUGUCCAAGGCUACCCUGUGACAAAUUGGCGACCAGUCCCUUCACUCUAUGGUGACAGAGUGGAUAGGUGCCACACGACCCCUGGAUACGUGGAAGAAAAUAAAGGGAUAAAAUUAGACUCCAUCUUUAUAAACAUUAUUUUAUAAAUACACAACAUACGGACUGAAGAUGCAGAGGGUUUUACCUGCUGUCAGCAGCUCUGUGUCCUGUUUGCAGUGGUUCUCAGAGCAGAGAAGCGAUCGAGGCGACCUUUACAUAUCCACACAGUGCACAUGGUACACACAUUUAAAUCUUUA